GUCAGCAAAACAAGACGCGAGCCCGCGGGUCGCAGGUCGUCACGGGCCGCAUGGACUUGUUUGAAGCGGCGGCGGUUAUUCCGUGCGUGUUCCUUCGUGUGGUGCACUGCUUUGGUGGCUCACUGGUGAAUGUUCUGCAGCCUGCAGCAGUCGUCAGAAACGGUGACGGUUGCCGCGCUGUUGAUGCUUCAGCUUCAUCACAGUUUCAUCUGACUCCUUUGAGACCUUCAAGCUUCGCUUCACUGUCCUGACUCCGACGCAUGUGCGACACGUCAGUAAAAUUUACUCACCUAUCAAGUCCCUCACUCCCUCUUCGGGAAGCCUCCCCUUCGCUGCAGAACCAGUCAGGCAGCAGUUCGUAAGGGCCUCCGUCCCAAACACUGCGACCGCAAGGUCCUGUGUGAAGAUUGACGGCUGCUUGCACUCUACAAGUUUCAGGUGUGCCUCGGGAACAACGAUGUCUCCAAAGGAUGUCUGAAACAUUGGGCCAGUUGGUUCAUUGUAUUAAAUGUUUAAAAGUGCCAAAAAUAACAAGGACUAAGACAAAGGUAGACAACACAAGGCACACUCACAACAGUUGUUUAUUUGGAAAGAACAUUAACUACAGUCUAAGCUCCUUAUAACAGACCUCAAUUUUGACCAAGAUUUUGGUCUGUUGUAAAAGGAGUAGGCUGUAUGCAGAUAUGAAGUUGAGUCAAUGGCGCA